CCGUUCUGGAAUACCGUGAAUAACUGGCC
rnacentral:piRNA from 1 species